GGACGAGGACGACCUCGGCCGUUUGUGCCUUGUACCGGGGACGGCCCCG
rnacentral:ncRNA from 1 species